AGUCGCGUGGGCGCCUGCGAGGACUUGGGAGAGCAAGCCGCGGAGAGAACUUGAAGCCACCAUGGGAGAUGAAGAUUGGGAAGCAGAAAUCAACCCUCAUAUGUCUUCCUAUGUUCCCAUAUUUGAGAAGGAUAGGUAUUCUGGAGAAAAUGGAGACAAUUUUAACAGGACUCCAGCUUCAUCAUCAGAAAUGGAUGAUGGACCUUCUCGAAGAGAUCAUUUCAUGAAAAGUGGAUUUGCCUCUGGGCGGAAUUUUGGAAACAGAGAUGCUGGUGAGUGUAAUAAACGAGAUAAUACAUCCACAAUGGGUGGUUUUGGAGUUGGAAAGAGUUUUGGAAACAGAGGUUUUUCAAACAGCAGGUUUGAAGAUGGUGAUAGCUCUGGUUUCUGGAGAGAGUCUAGUAAUGACUGUGAAGAUAAUCCAACACGGAACAGAGGGUUUUCCAAGAGAGGCGGUAAGGACCACAUUUUGGAACAAUUUGUACUUAACACAGAGACACUAAACUGGUAAAACUGAUUUUGAAGGAGCUGGAUGAAAAACACUGAUGGUGAAAACCUUUGAAGAAAAAUACUUUGGUAUAUGUUUUCUGCUUUUAAUAU
rnacentral:sRNA from 1 species